CUAGAACUGUAUCUCAGUUCUACCUGAAUCAGAAUCUCUGGCAUAAGGCCCAGAAGUAUGCAUUUCCUAAAAGCUCCCUUGGUUCUGAGAUGUGUGGCCAGGUUUGGAGACCAUUGGUCAGAACUUUACCAGAAUGCCAUUCAAUUUCUUCCAGCCCAGAAAUUCUAUUGUUCUUUGACAUUCCCAAAGAAACAUCACUGACAAUGGUUGCUGCUGGGGCUUGUACUACUUGUGGGGUUAUAUAGUCAAGGCCUAAAUGAGACAUUAAUUUGCGGGAUCGACUGGGAAAUAAACCACCAUAUAUAACAUUCCUUAUAUAGAAAAAAGUUUGCAAAGUUCCAAAUAAUAAGCAAAAAAAUGUAAACUUCUGAAACAAGUUCUCGCUUUAUCUUAGGGUUCAGAUAAAAGUUAGAAGACUCAGACUUUUUCUAAAAGACACAUUUUGAAAAGGUGAUUAUGAUUCUCAUUCUGACCACAGGGGGGCCACGCAAAUCAGUACUUCACAGUAUUUUCUUGUGACAAAUUUGUUUAUGUAUUUAUUCCUAGCACUUUUUUCUCCCUCCACAAAUCCAGGUUAUCUUCACAAUUUAUAACUUGAGUUAAAGAGGUCAUUUUUCAAGUUGUCUUUAUAAAGAUAAUUUCAGUCUGGUCUAGUUCGUCUAAACCCUUUAUUACUAAUCAAAUUUUGAUGUCUGUGGUAGAUUAGAGUUCCUAUUUUAUUUUCAGAGAUUUAACGUAGUUUACCCAAACUCAUUAUUCUACAGCUUAAGCAUCUGAAACCAAGAGAGAUGAAGUAAUUUUAUUCAGAAUCAAAGUUAGUUGUUGAUAUUCCCAAAUUUAAAAAACAGGAUUUUGGUUUUCUAAAAUAUUAAGUUGGAAACAUGAUGACAACCAGUUUUAGUAAAAUGUAAACAAUAAUAAUAGCUACUGUUUAUUAUCUAUGGGCCAGAAUGUUAUGGUACAUGAUUCUAUUUAAUCCUCCCCAAAGCAGCCUGGCAAGGCAUAUGUCAUCUUCAUUGUUUGGGAUGAGAAAGUUGAAUCCCGGAUUUGUUAGUCUGUCAUAACUACCACGUGACUUUAAUGAGAUGACCUGGCAUUUGAUCCCAAGUCUGUCAGAAGCUGAAGUCCACGGGCGUUCCUCUGUACCACAAUGCUUUUCUCCCAUUUGGCUUUGAAAUGAGUUUCUACUCUGGGUAUCAUAUUUAUCAUCUCAAAUUUCUUCCUAAAUUACAUAUUUUAUUUCCAAAAUAAAUAUUUACGAACAUAAAACUCUAUCUUAACAGGAAGCAGAGAAUUAAAAAUCACACAAUCACCAUGAAAGCUUCUGGUGAUCUUCCUACGGGAAAGGGAAGCUGUGGUUUGCAAGAGCUCAUGCAGGGACCCCCUACCAGCAGUUUGCGGGUCUCUGGACCACAGGAGGGUGGGGAAGGCACUGGGACGGCAGAGCACAAAAAUAAGCAUUUGAAAUCCCUUCAUGAGCAAGUGUAAUUGGAAUAAUUUGGGUUCAUUAAAUAAUCUAUAACAUUCCCUUUAUAAACGCCUUGUCCAGCUAGUAAAAAGUCAGAAGAAGCCAUGCAACUUUGCCACCACUAGAUGGCAGUGUUGGCUAUGAAAUGGAAUUGCCCACUCUCAAGAGAACUCUAAUGUUAAUCAAGAGAUUAAAUACAUGACUCCUGACAAGGAACUUGUGUUUUCCUUGGAAGAGACAAGACAAACCUAUGUGAAUAGUAACCAAAUAUCCCAAGUGUGUGCAUUCAUUUGUGACUAGUUGCAAAUACGAAGGGUAGAGGUAACACGGGCUAUAAGAUCUGAGAGAGAGAUGUAAAUGUAAACUGGAGUGGACGGGGAAGCUUCCACAGAUGUGGGACUCAGGUGGUGUUCUAAAGGAUGACUAAGCGACGGCCAGGGUAGGAAGAGAGCAGGAUCAUUCCAGGGAGGAGGAAUGACACGAGCACAAGCAUGGAGGUGGAAAUAAAUACAGAGUUCAGAUGAAGUGGAAGAUUCAUUUGGGGAAGAGUGGGAGCAGGCUGCGUAGGACACACAUAGUAUAGGAGCAGAAAUGACAAAGAGGAGCCUUGGAACUCACCCUCCCUUCUAAAUUUGCCUCUAAAAGAAUGCCACUGUAGGAAGAUGAACUGAUUGGGUACUGGGGUCAGGUACUUAUCUCGCUCUCUUGUAAACCAUCAUCUGAGCUUUCUUCCCUGUGUAAUUCCUGUAUCCUGGUCCUUUCGUCAUUUUUCAUGUUCCCUCCCCAUCAAAUCUCGAUCUGGAGACCGCAGAGACACCCCCACCCCCACCCCCGCACUCAACAGAGAACUGGCUCCUGUUUGCCUUCAGAUAGAGCAGGGGCUUCUGCUUCUGCUCUGAUUCUGCCCCAAAGACCUGCUUUCCUCUGGUUGGCCGUUUUUAAAAUAACCUGAAUUUGUACUCGAGAUGUUCAGCCAGUUUGUUUCCCUUAAAAACAAGUCAAAGCUCAUGCUUUCACCUCAGUGAGAGAACGUCAGCCAACAAAGGCUGCUUCUCUCUUCCAGUCGUCGGAACAGCUGAGCGGCUGUUUCAGGGGUUUUCUCUUUUGCCCAAACGCCACCUAAUAAAGUUCUGAAAGGCUGAAGAAAAAAGACCUUUCAGACUUCUAGGCCUUCAACGAGGUGCCCUGAGGAGAGCGCAGGAUGGCGCCCAGGGGUGGCGAAGGGGGCUCCUCCUGGGUCCCACUUGGCACGGGGCAGUCCGCAUCCCUGUCCAGCCGCUGAUGUCGCCGGGUCGAAGCAGCUGGAGUCCACGGUCGCGAGGCCACCGGCCUCUCGGCGUUUCUCCAGCCUGUCAGCUUCCGGCCAGCCCACGCCAGCAUCUGUCGUCAGGCAGAGAAGCCACAAAGGUGCUUGCUGCCAAGGACCAAGAUGACGCAGAAACCGAAGAGGAAGACGACCUGCCGGUGCCGGAGGUCCACGGCCGGGGCCUUGUGGUGACCACGGGAGCCUGGCUCCUCAGCCGCGUGGGCGUCAAGAUCCGGGUCCUCCUGCCGGCGGCCGCUCGCUUCCGGCGGCCGCUUUCCCGCCACCGCCGCCGCGGCCCCGGGCCUGGGCGAGGCGGACUCCUCCACCGCGGUGCGGGGGAUGGAAGGAGCCGGAGAGGAGGUGCAGACGGUUCAUGAAUGUGUUGUUUGCGGUGUGGCCAAGAGAACACAACAAGCAUUUUGUGCAGUGAUGACCGAAUUUCCCUGUGGCCAGCCUACUGUGUGGUUUACACGUGGGACGCCUACCACAGCAUGGCUGCCAAGCAGUGCCAUGUCCGCACCCGGGAUCCGAACCAGCGAACCCCGGGCCGCCGAGAAGCGGAACGUGCGAACUUAACCGCAGCGCCACCGGGCCGGCCCCACAGAGUAGUUAUUUAAAGGAAACACUGUAUGACAUCAGAAAGCAAGAAGGGGCAAGAGACUUCCAUUAUGGCUGUGGAGGCUGCUGACAGUAGCUACAGGAAAUGGAUUCCCUGAGCCCUGCCUUCCUGUCAGGAGUGAAAGCAAGCGGUCCUGGAGAGCUGCCUCUUCAUCUCUGGGCUGGGGAAAAGGAGGGGUUUUAUUUAGUACCAGUUUCUUCCUUCUAGUAAGAAAUCAGUUGUGUGAAUGUGCUAAUCAAAUUCCUUCAUACACAAUUAUAAUUUUAAGGAAUAAAUAAGUGGAACACCUUAAACAUGCCGUACUCUCUGAGUACUCAAAAAUCUUGAUUUUUUUUUCCUGAUAUAAUAUAAAAGCCUUGCAUUUAAAUUAGAGUCUUGCACCUAAUGAUAUAAAACAGUUUUAGUCAGUUACGAAUCAAUUAUUUGACUUCAAAGAUAAGGUUAGCUGUGAUUAACUAUCUCAGUUUUUCCUAGCUUUUAUUUCAUGGAAUUUUAUGUUUUUCCAUAAAGAAAAUUUCUUACACGUA